rnacentral:sRNA from 1 species
UCACUCCACUGAUUGCCAGGAGGAUGACCUUCCCUGAUAGAAGAGGACUAUUUCCUCCACCAAGGGCAUAUGAGGAGCUGUGCUUUCUUUCUAGAACCUACAAACAAGUUCCCAAGGUCCACAGUGUUACAAAGGAUCAAGAGC